rnacentral:rRNA from 1 species
UACGUAGGGGGCGAGCGUUGUCCGGAAUCAUUGGGCGUAAAGAGCUCGUAGGCGGUCUGUCGCGUCGGAUGUGAAAACCCAGGGCUCAACCCUGGGCCUGCAUUCGAUACGGGCAGACUAGAGUUCGGUAGGGGAGACUGGAAUUCCUGGUGUAGCGGUGAAAUGCGCAGAUAUCAGGAGGAACACCGGUGGCGAAGGCGGGUCUCUGGGCCGAAACUGACGCUGAGGAGCGAAAGCGUGGGGAGCAAACAGG